CAACCUUCCAGUUCCUAGACCAAUGCUCUAACCACUAGGCUACCCUGCAGCCUCUACACUCUAACCACUAGGCUACCCUGCAGCCUCUACACUCUAACCACUAGGCUACCCUGCCACCUCUACACUCUAACCACUAGGCUACCCUGCCGCCCCCACACUCUAACCACUAGGCUACCCUGCCGCCCCUACACUCUAACCACUAGGCUACCCUGCCGCCCCUACACUCUAACCACUAGGCUACCCUGCCGCCACUACACUCUAACCACCAGGCUACCCUGCCGCCACUACAAUCUAACCACUAGGCUACCCUGCCGCCCCUACACUCUAACCACUAGGCUACCCUGCCGCCUCUACACUCUAACCACUAGGCUACCCUGCCGCCCCUACACUCUAACCACUAGGCUACCCUGCCGCCACUACACUCUAACCACUAGGCUACCCUGCCGCCCCUACACUCUAACCACUAGGCUACCCUGCCGCCCCUACACUCUAACCACUAGGCUACCCUGC
ensembl:lncRNA